GUCUCCGUAGCUCAGUGGAUAGAGCACUGGUUUCCGGUACCAAAGGUCGCAGGUUCGAAUCCUGUCGGGGAC
rnacentral:tRNA from 1 species